GACAUAAAUGUGUCCUAGACAGACCCUUCUUUUCUUAGUGAAACAUCAACUUUCCAAAGACAAUAUUCCAAACUGGACAGUUGAUACAUAGAGCUAUUUUACUUUAACAUUUAAAGUGUGGCUGCAAAUCUGGGAUGCAGGAGGUGAAAAUUCAUUGUCUAAUCUGUUUCUCAGUUUCCUCUUUCAGAAACGAGAGAUUUUUCAAGACCUUGCUCCACUGCUGUGGCACUCCUUUGGCACUGUUGCUGCACUGCUCCAGGAGAUUGUGUCAAUUUACCCUUCACUUUCACCUCCUACUUUGUCGCCAGUUGCAUCAAACCGUGUCUGCAAUGCACUUGCACUUCUUCAGUGUGUUGCUUCACACCCUAAGACCAGGAUCCCGUUCUUGAAUGCUCACAUCCCACUGUACCUGUACCCGUUCCUGAAUACUACCAGCAAGACAAGACCUUUUGAGUACUUGAGGCUUACCAGCUUGGGUGUUAUUGGUGCUCUUGUGAAGGUAAAUUAAAACUAGAUACUUAUGCAAAC